GUAUAUUUCCUUUGGGAUGUCAAACAGAAACUUUUUGUGCAAGCAAACGAAACGAUGGACAGAUUGUGGUGAAUCAGGUGACGUUGCUGAGGUAACAUCUGUGAAAAAGCAGCUGCGCGGGAAUCCGUGAAAGGUCAGGUUAUAUGCAGCUUUUGAAAUAUGAAAAUAGAGAGUAGGAAAUAGUAAUGUAAACAAAUGAAUGUUGAUCUAUACCCAUCCAUCUUUUUUUUUCAUUAUGAACUUGAACUGGUACCUGGGAGAUGUGGGAUCUAACAGUUAUUAGAACUUGAUUUUUUACGCGAUAUAUUUACGUGGGAAUCAAUUGAUAUCGAAUUUGUUAUUCAUGAUAUUCGAAUAUAAGACAUCUUAAAGAAAAAUAUCAUCAGACUAAGUGACAAAAUUUUUGAAUCAAUUCUCAAUUUAUGCUUGUUUUAUUUACUAGAAAAAACUAUUUUCUCAUUAUCUGAUUUCUUCGUUUAUGGCAACUGAUUAUCAUCCAAAACUAUGAAACAUUUAAUUUUUAUUGAAUUUUGAGAGAUUACAUUGAUUAUUAUUAUUAAAGAUUUGAUUAGUUUCUGUCAUUUUCUGAGCAUGCAACAAUAAUAUAGUUGGUAGGUGAAGAUUUAGGACACCUUCAGGACAACGUGACUGCAUUGAUCAUGUAUAUUUGGUUAUUUAAGCGUUGAUAAACAUGUUCAUUUUUAUUAGUGACAUAUCAUUUAGUCUCCAAAUUUAGUAUCCCUAGCAUUAUCCUUGUUGAUAUUUUUCACAUCAAGGUGAUGCCAUGGCCAACUCUAAAGGCCUACACAACCAUUUGCAGAAAGGAGAUCUUCUCAAAGUGAGACUCUUUAUGGACUCUCUGUCACUUUAAUAUUAAUUUAUGUGUCAACAUUAUAAAACAUUGUGUAAAAAACAUAAGGUGGUAGAAAGUCCGUAGAGAAUUCCACUCUUGAGAAGGUCUCCUUAGCAUUUCUCUUGUUUGAUUUUCCAAGGAAAGAGCGUUGCCUUCGUCCAUAUUAGUCGUGGCGAUCGAGUUGCCUACACUAAAGGAUUAAGUAUUUCCAAGUGAGAGAGUAUAGCCGUGGAAAACUCUCAAAAGUUCAAAGAUAGGUUCUCCUUUUCUAUCUUAAUUUCUAGGCUUUGAAACCUCAUUGCCUUCUUAGGCUUUAAAGUACGAAGACCGAUUUAUUUUAUAGCAUUGAAAAACAACCACAAUGUGAGAAAAUUGUGGGGUGGCUUAGCUAUUUUUGAGAGUUAACAUAUACUUAAGAAGGAAAAAGUAAUUUGCUUUUAAAAAGAGAUAAUAAUAUAAAGUGUAGUAGUUCAGUAUUAGUGAUUUUUCGAAAAUACCUUACAUGUGGGGGAAUCUGCUGAAGACUGAAGUACUAGCAAAUUACUUAAUAAGUGAUAAAGAUUUUUACCGCAUGCAAAAGUAAGUAUAAAAACACUUUAAAUACUUGCAAGAGUACAAGGUAAUUGUAGUAAGGUCGUUCUCCACAGGGAUUGAAUGAAUAAUUUGUAUUAAACCAAAUUUUAAUUAAUAAUUUAAAACGAAGUUUGAGAAAAUGUUGAUUUUGUGAUUUAAAAUAAUAAAAAUGAAUUUAAUAGAAAAUAAUUAAAUAAGGUUGUGACGACCCGUCCCGAAUUAAUAUAUAUAUUUUAUCCUCAGAUGUGUGGAAUUGACGAUUAUGCCCUCGAGUCGUAGUGACAUGAAUGUAUCUUUACAGUUUUAAAUUACUUUUUUUGCUGACGUAAUUAAAUUGUACAUGACGUCCCGAGAGCAUUGACGUGAGUUAGGGCCGAAUCGGGCUUGUAACGGAAAAGUUACGAAUGUUAAAAUACAAUUGAAUCAAAUAGGAAAAUAAAAUUAGACCAAUUGGGAUCAUUCCUGUUUUCUUGGAGCCCAAUUAGGAUUGAGUUGAAGUAUAUGUUGGGCCAUUUGGGUUUUCCUUUCUUCUUCUUUCUCACAGCUACCCAAUAGGGAGCCUUGAUAUUUUCCUUUAGCCAAUCCCGUAGCUAAAUCACACACACACCCACACGUAACCUUUCUUCCUCUCUCAUCUUUCUCGAAAUCUCUCUCGUUCGUACCGUUCGUACACCCAUGCACCCAACCAUCCUCAUCUAGCAUAGAUCGAGAUGUUGGAGACCACCUUUGAGUUCGUUGCAAGCUCACGAGCCUAACCAUACCCUUUGUUUGAGGGAAGGAUGUCGAAAUCGUGAGAACUUUCGAACUCCGGCGAGGAGUUCUGUUGCUCCGAUGUGAUCAUGGUUGAUUUAAUUGGUUUUGAGGCUUAAGAAGGUACUCUUCUAGUUUCCCUAGCACUUUGGAGUCAUUUUGAAGUGUUUUGGACGUCGGGACACUAGGGUUUAUCAAGUUGCAAACUUAGUCGGAAUAUCGAAGAAUUUUCAGACAACUUCUGGUCGGUUUUAGGGCUCCAAAUAGGUAAGGUUUUGUUCUCCUUGUUGAGAGCUUCAAAUCCAUAUAAGAUUUAUGGAAUUUGGUUGAAAAGUGAGUGAGAAAAUCGAAUUUUAAAUUUUUCCAGAAACCGACAACACAGCGGCGACCGGCGCCGGAAUCUGGCAACCCACCGGAGAAGAAAGGAGAAUAUUCCGUCAACUUUGACAGAAUAUACAAACGGCAUCAGGUAUAUUUAACGAAAUAUUCUCUAACGGCGUUAAAGUUUCUGUCCAAUGUGCCAGGCACGUGCCUAUGCGUGGUCGGAAUGUGAGGGCGCGUGGGAUAUCGGAAAAUUAUUCUAAAAUAUGGGGAUGCUCGUGGUGUUGAGUAGGCCACAAUGGUAUAUUCAAACACCCUAAUUGAGCAACGUAUGAGAAGUUAUUAUACAGUUUUGAUUAUGUGCUUAAAUUAACGUUAAAUCAGUGGUUUCACAUAUAGGCGAGACGUUCCCGGAAGACGAGCGUAGCCAGGCGAGACUCGAGGGUUACGACCCAGCUACAUACCAGUGAGUAGGCUUUUGGUUUUCUAUAUAUAUACGUAUAUAUGAUUUACAUUUUCCCAAAAAUUGUUUUAAAUGAAAUUAUGUUUUAAAUGCCAUGUCUAUUGCAUUACAUUUGAGUAUAUGCAUUAGUAUAGAUAUGCAUAUUAUUGCAUGGUGCUGCGGACGCUUAGGUAAGCUUCAGGUGAGUACAUAUUGAUGAUAAUGAUUGUAGAGUAUAUGGUUAUGUUUAGAUGCAUUUAGUGCUCAUUAUCCUGCACUCCGGUGUUAGUGCUCCGCCCCGGACCAGGUCUAGCCUUCACGUGAUCGUUCACUUCCCACACCACACGCUCACCUUGGAUCCAAGGCAGGUGUCAGCCUGUCGUACAGACCACAUUAGGUGGUUCUGACUCGUAGGUGACUUGCGAUACUUCGCACAGCCUUCACGUGAUCGUAGCACUUGAGCGUAUCUAUUUACACCCAGCCUGUCGUACAGACCACAAUAGUGGUUCCGACUCGUGUGCAGGAAUUGGUUAUGAACUAUAAGUUCAGCCGUACAGGUCACGUUAGGUGACUCCGGCUGAUAUAUCAUUUUAUAUUGAUUUACAUCACCUGGCUUACAUAGUUAUUAUUGAGAUACUUGACAUGGCAUAUACUGUGGUUUUCAUUACUCUCGAACCUGAUUUCUAUAUAUGUAUAUAUUGUUAUUUUUUGAGAAAUUAUAUGGAUUUUAUGGUGAGGGGUUAUAUGUUUUGGAAGUGAAAUGGUUUUGAAAAUUUUUAUUUUUGCCCACUCACAUUUUCUAUUUUGCGCCCCUCCAAAUUCUAGUUAGAAGUUCGUGUUGGUGGCUCACGAGGAUCCUACGGCGGUUCUGACAGACAUCCAUCAAUAUAGGGUUUUCUUUCAUAUCUUGUAUAAUUAGUAUUUAGCUUGCUGGACUGCACUUUGGUACUUGCACUCUGAUUAUGUGUAUCUACACUCUAACACUUCCAAUCGUACUUUUAUACUAGUCUAGUGUAACUUAGUUAGUUUGAUUUUUAUUUACCCACAUUAUCUUAUCACUUUCAUUUCCGCACGGCGCACAUGGCUACAUCAUCUUCACAUGACGACCAGCAUGCCUCGACUUAGGUCGGGGUGUGUCAAAGUGACAAAAUAAAAAAAUAACUAAAAGAAAACGGUUUUUGAAAAUUAAAUGUAAAAGCCUAGAGUUCCGCCAUCACCUUAACAGACCUAUGUAGUUCUUCCAAUUACUUAUGAAUUACACAUGCAUAUUUUGAAGGUUAAGUUUUCCUAAAGUAUGCCUACUUGGACCCCCAACAUAGAGUGAAUAUCAAACAUGCAACUUGUCUUUGGUAUUCAGAUCAAAUCUAAACAUGCAUGACUCAUUAAGCUUUGUGAAACCUUUUGAAAAACCAUACAACCUUUAAGACGUGGUAUUCAUCCUAAGUGAACUUGCACAUAUUAACCACAUGAAGCCUUCGUCAAUUUAAGGGACCAACCUCUGUCCAAAAUUGCAUAAAAUUACUUUUCUAAAGAUCCUAAUAGUAGCUAAGCAUUAAGACAAUUAGAUAGUAUAAAUAGGUGAUUAAUAAUUCAAACCUGCAUACAUAAUAUCAUAAGCAAAUUCAAAAGAAACUACAGUCUACAUAUUCUUGUUAAGGCUCGUGGCCUCACCCUAGCAAACUGAAAUUAGUUACUAACAAUCAUAAAACAAAAUAUUAUUAAAAACAAUGAUUGAAAACACCUUGAAGAUAAACUUGAAUUGUCAAAAACUCCAAAGUAAAGCGUUCUUCUCCUCUCUCUGCUCACCCUAAUGGCUAAAAAGCCUUAUUUAUACUACUACAUAAUUAAAAUCCUUACUAGAAAAGGUCUUUUAAAAACUAGGAAACAUAAUAGAAUUAGAUAACUAGGAAAUACAUUCAUAUUCUAACUUUGAAAAAUCUGCCCAGCCACAAAUCAGCCAUGUUUUUGGACUUCCGGAGCUCCAAAACAGGCUCAAAAUGACUUGAACUAAAACUUGAGAUGUCCCAAACAUAAUUGCAGAAGGUCUUGAACACAAAAUACAUCAUCUUGGACACCAAAAAGUCCAAAUAAGCCCAAAAUGUCACUUUGAUAGUAUUGCACGCUGCUCCUUUAUUUCUUCGCCAUAAAUAAACUACUUGGUAGAAAAAUAUGAAACUUUGACACAAUCAAGUUGAGAGACACAUGAACGUCCUCCAAUUUAAAUCACUACAAAAUUUGACGCAACCCGACCCUAAAAUCAGGGCGUGCUGGCCGUCACGUGGGCGUGACGUAACCAAAAGUGCGACGCGGGAGCAAAAAGGUAAAAGAAAACGAAGGAAUAAAAACCAACUACUAGCAAUAAUAUCCAACUAACAUGCUAGAGUGAGUUUAAGUGUGAAACACACAUAAUCAGAACAUAAAUACUAUGUGCAGUCAAGUAGGACCAUUACUAAAUUACAACACUCGAUGGUGAAUCCUACAUUUAAGUAGUCUGUCAGAACGCCGUGGAAAUCCUCGUGAGUCACCAACACUGCUAACUAGAACCUGGAGGGGCGCAAAACAAGAUUGAGUGGGUCAGUAAAACAAAGAUUUUCGAAAAUAUUUCAAUUAAUAACACUUCUAACCCCUCGCUGUAAAACCUGUAUACUUUCCCAGAAAAAUAGUAUAUAUAUAACCAUAUAUAACAGCAAAACUCAAAUCACAAGUCUUUAACACUUUUCAGGAAAAAUAUGCCAUGCUAUGCUUUAAAACAUAAUAAGGAUGCAUCAAUAUAACAGGUGAAAUAAGGAAUCAACCGGAGACCCUGCAGUUGUCCUGUACGGCUAAUUCUAUAGCUCAAUAUCCAAUCCAGCCGGAGUCACCAACUGUGACCUGUACGGCCCUACUCUGCACAUAAAUCGAAACAAUCUGAAGUAGUUUGUACGACAAGAAUGGUGUAAGAAUACACUCUAGUACUUCUCUCAUUAAUAGCUGUAUAAUAAUCUAAAGUCACCUACAAGUCGGAACCACCUCUAAUGGUCUGUACGACAUGUCGGAACCACUUCUAAUGGUCUGUACGACAUGCACCUACUUGGAUCCAAGGUGAGCGUGUGGUGUGGGGUGAAUAAUAUAAGCACUAACACCGGGGGUGCAGGUUAUGAGCUCUCAACAUAAUCACAUCAAACAAUAAAUCACAUGAACAACAUAAAACUCACCUGAUACUCACCUGUGUGUCUACAACACCAUUUAACAUAUAUGCAUCAAUUACUAACUCAUAUAUUUCAUAUAAUAUAUAUGCAUGGCAUUUUAAAACAUACUAUCAUUUAAAUUCAAUUUUUGGGAAAGAUCAGUAGUAUAAAGGUAUAUACAGAAAAUAACUGCCCACUCACUGGUAUGUCGAAGGGUCGUAACCCCCAUGACGCCCUUGAAUGCGCUCGUCCUCGUGAUAGGUCUCACCUAUAUGCGAAACAAUUAUAAAAACGUUAUUUUAAAGCACAUAACUAACAAUACGUAAUAACUUCUUAUACGAUGCUCAAUUUAGGUAUAUGAAUAUACCACAGUGACCUACUUGACGUCACGGACGUCGAGAUAUUUUUAGAAUAAUUUUUCAAUGCCGCAUGCGCCCCCACGUGCCGGGAGAGGCACGGUGCUACGCGCCCCCACGCGCAUCUUCCCCUACCUCCAGACACCGGACUGGUUUCGCCAGCAACAGAAAAGUCGCCGGUUUCUGGGUUAUUUUCAAAUCACCAUAACUCAUUUAUUUCUUCACUAUUUUCAAUGCUCUUUAUAUCAAAAUGAAGAUCUCGACGAGAUAAACAAAUCCAUACCUGCUUCGACCCUUAACUCGCCAGGGAUUCAUCGGAAAAAGCCUCGAAAGUUCCGGCCAAAUUUGAAAAGCUUCGUUCUCAGUCCUCUGACGUCCAAAUUCUACCAACAAAGUACCCUAAAGCUCGUGAGAACCUCCUUAAGCUCACUGUGAGCUUGAAAUUCCCUGAAACACAAUGUUUUACGUGUGCAUGAAUAGUGCACAUUUUCGGGGUCAGGGUUUCAUGAUGAUUUCGAAGGUCUUAAGUUCCAAAAUUAGAAUGUUUGGACUCAGGGACUCAAGAUGAGUUCGAUUCUUACCUUAGAACCUUCGAUUUGUGCCUAAAUGUUCGCGGGUGAGAGUGUCCGUACAAGUUUGAAGGGUGAGAGAGUGAAACUGAGAGGGAAAAGAGAGAUACGAGAUAGGAGAGAGAGAGAGAGGAUGAUAGGGAUUUGUGUGGUCCUCUUAAGUCCCUAACCACACAAAAUGCAUACAAUUUUUAAUCCAACUUAAUUUUCCAAAAACUUAGGAAGGUAUGUAUUAUUCAAAUAAACAUGUUACACAUACCUUAGCAACCUUUAAGGGCAAUUCCAUCAAUUCACAUCCACGAUAAAUGAAAUUUCGGGACGGGCUGUGACAAAAUUCGUCUGUUUCAUCAUGUUUUGCUCUAGAGGAAGUCGAAUGUCCUACAUUAAGAAUAUAAAUCAAAGUAUCAAAAUUCUCACAAAAUAACCACUAAAUUAUAACUAAAAAUAGGGUAAAAUAUAUAGUAUAAUAAUGACUCGUCAAUAAGUCCGAACAUACAUUUUGAGGAUGGAAGCGCGCACCAUAUGUUGGAACCACUCUUGAAUGAAAUAUAAUUCCAGAAGAUGGAUGUGCGCACUAUGAGAAACCGUGAUCUAACCUAGUGGCACCAAUUAUAAUGUCGUUGCACCCAAGGCAUGGAGAACCUAUGACUGACCGGGACAGAUUCCUUCCUUAGGCCACAAUCACAUUUGAAAGAUGUCAAAUCACAAGCAACUAAAACCACCAACUUCUCUUUACUCGCUCGGCCUUAGUUGCAAGUUGGCUCGUUCACGGAAAGAUUUGCAGUGCAGUACUAGAAAAGAUGAUAAUUGGAAAAGAACUUCACUACUAAUUAGUGUGCUGUUUGUGUGAUUUCCAAGGAAAGAGUCUUGCCUUCGUCCAUAUUAGGGCUGGUUUGGUAUUGCUGUGCUUUGAAAAAAAGCUGCUGUGAGAAUAAGCGGCUGUGCUGUGAAAAUAAGCGGCUGUGAAAUAAAGCCAGUAGAGUGUUUGGUAAACUUUUUUGUGAAAGUGCUUUUGGAAAAAAAAUCAGGAUGAUAGUGUGUCUUUUCAUUAAAGGAGCACUGUAGCUCUGUGUGCUUUGAAAAAACUGGCUUUUUUUCAAAGCAGCAAAUAGCAGCUUCAGCUUUUCCUUUGAUUUUCAGCUUAUUCUCACAGCAGCUUCCAAAAUAAGCCAUUUUUUUUCAGUUUACCAAACACAAAAAUAACCCUCAGCUUUUUUUCACAGUGGCUUUUUUUAAAAUCACCUCAAUCCCAAACGGGGCCUUAGUCAUGGUGAUUGAGUUGCCUACAACAAAGGGUUAAGUAUUCCGAGUGAGAGUUUAGCUAUGGAAAACUCUCAAAGUUCAAAGGCUAUGGUAAAGUGCCAAGACAUACUUAUCCUAAGAAGGCAGUGAGUUUUUAAAGCCUAGAAAUGAAGAUAGAAAAAGAGAUCCUAUCUUUGUACUUCUUUAAGCAUGAAGACUGAUUUAUUUGAUAGCAUUGAAUAGCAACCACAAUGUGAGGAGAUUAUGGCGUUGAUAUAUACUAAAGAAGAUGAAAAAAGUAAUUUGCUUCUAGAAAUAGAUAACAAAUAUGAAGUGGAUUAGUUUACUAGUACUAGACGGAUUUAAAUUCUCUUAUAGUGAUUUUUAAGGUAUUGAAAGGUUAGAGACUUCCAAAAAUACCUUAAAUGUGAGGUAAUCUACCUGAAGUGUUAGCAAAUUACUUAGUUCACUAGACGGUUUUAAAUUCUCUUAUGGUGAAUUUUAAGGUAUUGAAAGGUUAUUGACUUCCGAAAAUACCUUAAAUGUGGGGAGUCUACCUGAAGUGCUGGCAAAUUACUUAGUGAGUCCGAACAUACGUUGUAAGGACUUAAUGUUGGAAAACAACUACUCUCGAAUGAAAUAUAAUUUCACAAAAUGAAAAUGCUCACCAUAAGAGAUAGUCUUCAACCUAGAGGUAUAAAUUAUAAAGUCCUUCCUCAGUCCACAAUCACAUUUGAAAGAAGUCAAGUCACGAUGCAACUAAAAUCACCAACUAAAAUCAACCUAGUGGUAUAUUAUAAAUCUUUCGCUUCUCCCUGUGCAAAUCUCAGAGGCGCUUACCAUAAUUGCUUCACGAGGUCCUCUCUCUCUUCUCGCUCUAAAAUCUAUCUCAAAAAGUUAUAAUGGGUAUCGUUUUUGUCCGCAGGUUGUACCCGGAGAAGGUUGUGGUUUUUUUUUUGGAUUUCAGAUUUCUCUUUGUUAUCAAAUCGCUUAUGUAUUUUCUUGGUAUUAGGAUCUAAGAUUUUUGGUUUUUAAAGAGCAGCAGGCGAAGUUGGGGUACGUUUUCUUCUUUCUGUAUUUUUUUUGUUUAAUUUCUAAUUUUUAUUUCAUGCAUGGUGGACUUCUCUUUUGUAAUUAUUAAAUUGCUUCUAUAUUGGUUUGCUAUUUAAGAUCUGAUUUAUUUUAUUUUAUUUUUUGUUUUUUGCAUUUCAAGAGCAGCGGCAGGAUAUACCUUUUCUAUUUUUCUAUUUUUUUUUUUAAUUUCUAACUUUUAUGCAAGAUAUGAAAAUAUUGUAUGAAUCUCAUUCUCAUGUACGAUUAUCACCAAACGUAUAUAUUUUUCGUGGAAUUCUUGAGAAAAUCCAAGCUGAAUUCCAUUUUGUUUGGAAGAAAUUUAAUACCAGAAAGCUUGGCUCUCGUUCUGAUUUGAAGAAAUUUUAAUUUUUUUUCUUGGAUUAAACUACUCUAGAUUAAUUGUAGUUUGUGGGUUCAAUUAGGAACUUAGAUCUACUGAAUUAACUGUUUUUAGGGUCUGUUUUUCAGAAUAUUGAAUCAGUUUAUUUGUUAUUUACGUUAUUCCAUUGGGGUGUGCUAUCUACGCACCCCAUUUUACUUCUCACACACCCUUUGAUGAUUUAUGUCCAUUGAUUUUCUUCAAUUCAUCCGAUCUGACGGCCGAAAAUUAAAAAGGUGUAUGAGAAGUAAAAUGGGGUGUGGAUAUCAUACCCCUAUUCCAUUUCCAACUUUAGAAGGUGAUCUCAGUUCACCUGUUGUGAUUGAUCACAGUCGGUGAUUUAAUGAUUUCAUGUUUUUUAAAUUGUGUUACAUCUUAAUUUAAUGGUGAUUACAGGAGGAUACGUGUAGAUGUAGCAAUUGUUUUGUAAGCGCCAAAAACUGUGCAUGGGCCAGGGUUAGCAGUUGCUAUUUCAUCCCAUAGAUGGCGACGCUAUUCUUAUUGAGUAAUCUUCGAAGAAAGUUACCUCUUCAGAGAAGUACUCUGGCAGCAUUCGUUAAGCACUCUCCCUUUACUUUUCUUACAAGGAUUGCAACCUGGUUUGGAUCAGUACUGAUCAGUUUGUGGUCAUUGUUUUGGCAUUCAAUACAAGAGAAAUAUAAAGUCCUUGUCUUCAAGGCAUAGAAAAGACUUCAAUAUGGACUCAACUCCUCCAUAAGAACGAUCUUUUGAUAAGGAGGCAGUUUACUUGUGGCGCAAGCAAAUGACCUAUAUGACACUUAAAACAAUAUGUUGCUCUUGGCUAGUAGUGGCAUGCCUAAAAUUAAUUAAUUUGGUAAGAGAGCCUAAGAGCCUACGCAAGGCUUUGUAGGCACCUUCAAAUUGCUCACUUACGCAGGGAGAGUUGUGUGGGGAUCUCAAAUCCUAAGGCAAAUGAAGCCUGGAAAAACUUCUAGGGUUGACCGGCCAAUAAGAACCACCUCAAGAGAUGUCCGCAGGGCAAAAGUUGCUUGAGUGUCCAGCAAUUCAAUCAAUUUAGUCCAAACGUGGAACAAUUAAUGCCUCAAAUUUAGGAAAUGCAAAAAAUUCAGGGAUUGUCUCAAGGCUACGUGAACCACUAAGAUUCACGAAUUUCAGUUUCUUCAAGUGUCCAAGGGCACGAAUUUCAACCAAUUUUAUGCAAUCUUCAAGAAUUAAUCUCUCAAGGUUAGGAAAUGCUGAUAGAUAAUUCAGGGGUUGUCUCAAGGCCAUGUGAACCACUAAGAUUCAGGAUUUUCAGUCUUAGAAGAAACUGUAUGAAGAGAAGUAGUUAGUUUCUCCAAAUAUAUAAUGAUGAACGAUCUCUUAAUUUUUGUGUGUGCGUGUGAGAGAGAGAGAGAAUCGUACCGUAGUUCCCUCCCAAACAUGUUGCAGCCUGCUGUUCUGCAACUCAAGGGCAACUAGAUAUUCCAAACAAAAAUUGGCUGGUAUUGAUUGUAAAGGGAAUCCUCGCCAAGACAACGAUACUAAAUUUUUUGGAAAAUCUCCAUAAUCGCCAUUGAUUUUGACAUUAUCGAGCAGGAGAAAUUCAAGAUUGUGCAUUUUUCUAAAUGCCUCUGCUUUGAAAGCUGGUUCAUUUGAUGAAUGAGUUGUUGAGGAAGUAUUCAUUGGUUCCGAGGAGAAGAUAUUAUGCCAUUUCUGUCUUGAAAAGUCACUACUUUCCUGAGUGGAAAGAUUAAUCGUGAGGCCCUUAAUAGUUUCUGUACCCUGCUAACCAAUAAAAACAUGGGGUGAGUUAUUUACUAGUUUACAUUCACAGGACAAUUAGGAGUACAUACAUAGGGAGAGUAUGUUACUCACAGUUAAUUUUCUCAAAAUAUUAUAGGCAUCGUUUUGCCACACUCUACUUAACUUUCCAGGGUCCUCGGGUGAUUGUUCGCGAAUAAUCCCCAUUCCCAUGUCUCGAAGUAAUGGAUGCAUGAACAAUUUGUUGUCUAGGCCAACGUCAACUAGACAUUUAUCAACUAGAUUUUGAAUUCCAAACCGUGUCAAAAAAUCACACGAGUCCACUACUGUAGCUGUGAAAUCCAUGUCCUUUCCUAUGAAGAAACGCGCAACAUGGAGGAAUAAUCUUUUGUCAUGAUCCGAUAUAGAAGAGAAACUGAUUUUGAGAUUAUUUUGAAUUUUGGGAUCGCCAGUAAUCAGGCUCAAGUUUUGGACUGCACUUUUCCAUGCCCCUAGAGUUUUUCCAAAGAGAGAAGAUGCCAGAACUUGAAGAGCCAAAGGGUUCCCUCCACAGUGGCUAUAUAACACUCGUAACCUCGGACAUGAUAGUCUUGUUUGAAGGCAAGCCAACAGAAGAUCUUAAGCGAUGCAAGGCUAUCUAGACCUUCAACUUUAACCAUUUCAGGCACUUGAUCGCGAGCCUUUGAUAUAUUUCAUGUAGUCUAGUUGUCAUGGUGAUUUUACUUCCUGGAUAAAAUGAUUCUCGCAUUCCAAGAAUUGCAUUGAAUUGGUCUAAGUCGUUCAGACCAGAAAAAACAAUAAGAACUUUUCUCCCACGCACAGCGUUGAAUCUUGUUUAUUCCUUUAUCCAUGUUGUAUAUUUCCUUUGGGAUGUCAAACAGAAACUUUUUGUGCAAGCAAACGAAACGAUGGACAGAUUGUGGUGAAUCAAGUGAAGUUGCUUAGGUAACAUCUAUGAGAAAGCAGCUACGCGGGAAUCCGUGAAAGGUCAGGUUAUAAGCAGCUUUCGCAAUGGUGGUCUUGCCAAUUUCCCCCAUCCCCCAGAUCACAGCUACAUCAACAU
rnacentral:lncRNA from 1 species